CCCUGUAACUGUCUCCAGUCUCCACAGUCCACACUCUCUACAAGGUUCUAGUACUCACUUAUGUGUAUCACUAUAUUAUGUACCCAUGGAACUCUCUCUCUCUCUCUCUAAUGUUAACUUUCUCUACACUCACUACAGGGUUCUACUACUCACUAAUAUCAAAAAGGCUCUCUCUGUACCAUCAAUCACACCUGCAUGUAAUAUCUCCAUUUUAUCAUGCAAAUUAUAAUAAAGA